GACGAACGCUGGCGGCGUGCUUAACACAUGCAAGUCGAACGGAAAGGCCCCUUUGGGGGUACUCGAGUGGCGAACGGGGGAGUAACACGUGAGUAACCUGCCCUUGACUUCGGGAUAACUUCAGGAAACUGGGGCUAAUACCGGAUAGGAAUCCUUGCUGCAUGGGGGGGGUUGGAAAGCUUCGGCGGUUUUGGAUGGACUCGCGGCCUAUCAGCUUGUUGGUGGGGUAGUGGCUUACCAAGGCUUUGACGGGUAGCCGGCCUGAGGGGGCGACCGGCCACAUUGGGACUGAGAUGCGGCCCAGACUCCUACGGUAGGCAGCAGUGGGGAAUAUUGCACAAUGGGCGGAAGCCUGAUGAAGCAACGCCGCGGGCGGGAUGACGGCCUUCGGGUUGUAGACCGCUUUCAGCAGGGGCGAAGCUUGUUGUGACGGUACCUGCAGAAGAAGCACCGGCUAACUACGUG
rnacentral:rRNA from 1 species